rnacentral:rRNA from 1 species
UGGGGAAUAUUGGACAAUGGGGGCAACCCUGAUCCAGCCAUGCCGCGUGUGUGAAGAAGGCCUUUUGGUUGUAAAGCACUUUAAGCAGUGAAGAAGACUCCAUGGUUAAUACCCAUGGACGAUGACAUUAGCUGCAGAAUAAGCACCGGCUAACUCUGUGCCCGCAGCCGCGGUAAUACAGAGGGUGCAAGCGUUAAUCGGAAUUACUGGGCGUAAAGCGAGCGUAGGUGGCUUGAUAAGUCAGAUGUGAAAGCCCCGGGCUUAACCUGGGAACGGCAUCUGAUACUGUUAGGCUAGAGUAGGUGAGAGGAAGGUAGAAUUCCAGGUGUAGCGGUGAAAUGCGUAGAGAUCUGGAGGAAUACCGAUGGCGAAGGCAGCCUUCUGGCAUCAUACUGACACUGAGGUUCGAAAGCGUGGGUAGCAAACA